rnacentral:rRNA from 1 species
ACUUAUCGUUAUGUGAAUACAUAGCAUAACGAAGCGAACCGGGGUAACUGAAACAUCUCAGUACCCCGAGGAAACGAAAUCAACCGAGAAUCCGUAAGUAGCCGCGAGCGAAAUUGGACUAGCCCUUAAGAUUUACACGCGUUAGACGAACGGACUGGAAAGUUCGACGAUACAGGGUGAUAGUCCCGUAGUUGACGACGUGUGUUCAGUGAAAUCGAGUAGGGCGGGACACGUGAUAUCCUGUCUGAAUAUGGUGGGACCAUCCUCCAAGGCUAAAUACUACUGACUGACCGAUAGUGAACCAGUACCGUGAGGGAAAGGCGAAAAGCACCCCUGCGAGGGGAGUGAAACAGAACCUGAAACCGUGUACGUACAAGCAGUAGGAGCAGGCUUUGUCCUGUGACUGCGUACCUUUUGUAUAAUGGAUCAGCGACUUAUAUUCAGUGGCAAGGUUAACCAUCUAGGGGAG